rnacentral:rRNA from 1 species
GAAGUUUGAUCAUGGCUCAGGAUGAACGCUAGCUACAGGCUUAACACAUGCAAGUCGAGGGGCAUCAGUUUGGUUUGCUUGCAAACCAAAGCUGGCGACCGGCGCACGGGUUAGUAACACGUAUCCAACCUGCCUCAUACUCGGGGAUAGCCUUUCGAAAGAAAGAUUAAUAUCCGAUAGCAUAUAUUUCCCGCAUGGGUUUUAUAUUAAAGAAAUUCGGUAUGAGAUGGGGAUGCGUUCCAUUAG